UGCACCUCGUGAGAAGUUAUG
rnacentral:piRNA from 1 species